rnacentral:rRNA from 1 species
AUUGAACGCUGGCGGCAUGCUUUACACAUGCAAGUCGAACGGUAACGCGGGGGCAACCCUGGCGACGAGUGGCGAACGGGUGAGUAAUACAUCGGAACAUGUCCUGGAGUGGGGGAUAGCUCGGCGAAAGCCGGAUUAAUACCGCAUACGCUCUGAGGAGGAAAGCGGGGGACUCGUAAGGGCCUCGCGCUGCAGGAGUGGCCGAUGUCGGAUUAGCUAGUUGGGGGGUAAAGGCCCACCAAGGCGACGAUCCGUAGCUGGUCUGAGAGGAUGAUCAGCCACACUGGGACUGAGACACGGCCCAGACUCCUACGGGAGGCAGCAGUGGGGAAUUUUGGACAAUGGGGGCAACCCUGAUCCAGCCAUGCCGCGUGAGUGAAGAAGGCCU